rnacentral:rRNA from 1 species
ACGGAAGGCAGCAGUGGGGAAUAUUGCACAAUGGGGGAAACCCUGAUGCAGCGACGCCGCGUGAGUGAAGAAGUAUUUCGGUAUGUAAAGCUCUAUCAGCAGGAAAGAAAAUGACGGUACCUGACUAAGAAGCCCCGGCUAACUACGUGCCAGCAGCCGCGGUAAUACGUAGGGGGCAAGCGUUAUCCGGAUUUACUGGGUGUAAAGGGAGCGUAGACGGCUUUGCAAGUCUGAAGUGAAAGCCCGGGGCUCAACCCCGGAACUGCUUUGGAAACUGUAGAGCUAGAGUGCAGGAGAGGUAAGUGGAAUUCCUAGUGUAGCGGUGAAAUGCGUAGAUAUUAGGAGGAACACCAGUGGCGAAGGCGGCUUACUGGACUGUAACUGACGUUGAGGCUCGAAGGCGUGGGGAGCAAGCAGGAUUAGAUACCCUGGUA